rnacentral:miRNA from 1 species
UGCCUUCUGAUUGAUGAGGUGUAACAACCUCAUUGACCGGAAGGAAUGCCUUCUGGUCAAUGGGGCUUAAUAACUUCAUCAACCGGAAGGAAUCCCUUCCGGUCCAUGGUGUUGUUGUUUCUCAUGGACCAUAUGGGA